rnacentral:rRNA from 1 species
AAAGUAGGGGGCAACCCCUGCGAGUAGAGUGGCGAACGGGUGAGUAAUACAUCGGAACGUACCCAGUAGCGGGGGAUAACCUCUCGAAAGAGAGGCUAAUACCGCAUACGACCUACGGGUGAAAGAGGGGGAUUCGCAAGAACCUCUCACUAUUGGAGCGGCCGAUGUCGGAUUAGCUAGUUGGCGGGGUAAAAGCCCACCAAGGCGACGAUCCGUAGCUGGUCUGAGAGGACGACCAGCCACACUGGAACUGAGACACGGUCCAGACUCCUACGGGAGGCAGCAGUGGGGAAUUUUGGACAAUGGGCGCAAGCCUGAUCCAGCCAUGCCGCGUGAGUGAAGAAGGCCUUCGGGUUGUAAAGCUCUUUCGGCGGAGACGAAAAGGUCCGUGUUAAUACCUCGGAUCCAUGACGGUACCCGCAGAAGAAGCACCGGCUAACUAUGUGCCAGCAGCCGCGGUAAUACGUAGGGUGCAGGCGUUAAUCGGAAUUACUGGGCGUAAAGCGUGCGCAGGCGGUCUUUUAAGUCAGAUGUGAAAUCCCCGGGCUUAACCUGGGAACUGCGUUUGAAACUGAAAGGCUAGAGUGUGGCAGAGGGGGGUGGAAUUCCACGUGUAGCAGUGAAAUGCGUAGAGAUGUGGAGGAACACCGAUGGCGAAGGCAGCCCCCUGGGCUAACACUGACGCUCAUGCACGAAAGCGUGGGGAGCAAACAGGAUUAGAUACCCUGGUAGUCCACGCCCUAAACUAUGUCAACUGGUUGUCGGGGAAGCAAUUCCUUGGUAACGAAGCUAACGCGUGAAGUUGACCGCCUGGGGAGUAC